GCCGAGGUGGCGGAAUUGGUAGACGCGCUAGCUUCAGGUGUUAGUGGGGUUUCCCCGUGAAGGUUCAAGUCCUUUCCUCGGCA
rnacentral:tRNA from 1 species